rnacentral:rRNA from 1 species
GAGAGUUUGAUCCUGGCUCAGAUUGAACGCUGGCGGCAGGCCUAACACAUGCAAGUCGAGCGGUAGCACAGAGAGCUUGCUCUCGGGUGACGAGCGGCGGACGGGUGAGUAAUGUCUGGGAAACUGCCUGAUGGAGGGGGAUAACUACUGGAAACGGUAGCUAAUACCGCAUAAUGUCGCAAGACCAAAGUGGGGGACCUUCGGGCCUCAUGCCAUCAGAUGUGCCCAGAUGGGAUUAGCUAGUAGGUGGGGUAACGGCUCACCUAGGCGACGAUCCCUAGCUGGUCUGAGAGGAUGACCAGCCACACUGGAACUGAGACACGGUCCAGACUCCUACGGGAGGCAGCAGUGGGGAAUAUUGCACAAUGGGCGCAAGCCUGAUGCAGCCAUGCCGCGUGUGUGAAGAAGGCCUUCGGGUUGUAAAGCACUUUCAGCGGGGAGGAAGGCGUUAAGGUUAAUAACCUUGGCGAUUGACGUUACCCGCAGAAGAAGCACCGGCUAACUCCGUGCCAGCAGCCGCGGUAAUACGGAGGGUGCAAGCGUUAAUCGGAAUUACUGGGCGUAAAGCGCACGCAGGCGGUCUGUCAAGUCGGAUGUGAAAUCCCCGGGCUCAACCUGGGAACUGCAUUCGAAACUGGCAGGCUAGAGUCUUGUAGAGGGGGGUAGAAUUCCAGGUGUAGCGGUGAAAUGCGUAGAGAUCUGGAGGAAUACCGGUGGCGAAGGCGGCCCCCUGGACAAAGACUGACGCUCAGGUGCGAAAGCGUGGGGAGCAAACAGGAUUAGAUACCCUGGUAGUCCACGCCGUAAACGAUGUCGAUUUGGAGGUUGUGCCCUUGAGGCGUGGCUUCCGGAGCUAACGCGUUAAAUCGACCGCCUGGGGAGUACGGCCGCAAGGUUAAAACUCAAAUGAAUUGACGGGGGCCCGCACAAGCGGUGGAGCAUGUGGUUUAAUUCGAUGCAACGCGAAGAACCUUACCUGGUCUUGACAUCCACAGAACUUAGCAGAGAUGCUUUGGUGCCUUCGGGAACUGUGAGACAGGUGCUGCAUGGCUGUCGUCAGCUCGUGUUGUGAAAUGUUGGGUUAAGUCCCGCAACGAGCGCAACCCUUAUCCUUUGUUGCCAGCGGUCCGGCCGGGAACUCAAAGGAGACUGCCAGUGAUAAACUGGAGGAAGGUGGGGAUGACGUCAAGUCAUCAUGGCCCUUACGACCAGGGCUACACACGUGCUACAAUGGCAUAUACAAAGAGAAGCGACCUCGCGAGAGCAAGCGGACCUCAUAAAGUAUGUCGUAGUCCGGAUUGGAGUCUGCAACUCGACUCCAUGAAGUCGGAAUCGCUAGUAAUCGUAGAUCAGAAUGCUACGGUGAAUACGUUCCCGGGCCUUGUACACACCGCCCGUCACACCAUGGGAGUGGGUUGCAAAAGAAGUAGGUAGCUUAACCUUCGGGAGGGCGCUUACCACUUUGUGAUUCAUGACUGGGGUGAAGUCGUAACAAGGUAGCCG